GGAUUUGCGCAUCGGUCGUGCCUCACGGGGUAUGAACUGGUGCAGUCAAUUUCUCACCUUCUGGAGAACCGCGAUGUCCUUAAUUGGAUGCCGCGGGGAACCAGGACCUUUACUUUGAAAAAAUUAGAGUGUUUAAAGCAGGCAUUUUUGCUUGAAUACAUUAGCAUGGAAUAAUAAAAUAGGACGGCAUGGUUCUAUUUUGUUGGUUUCUAGGACCACCGUAAUGAUUAAUAGGGAUAGUUGGG
rnacentral:rRNA from 1 species